UCACUCUGUAGCCCAGGCUGGCCUUGAGCUCACUCUGUAGCCCAGGCUGGCCUUGAACUCACAACAAUCCUCCUGCCUCAGCCUCCCAAGUGCUGGGUUAACAGGCGUGCGCCACCAAGCCGG
rnacentral:miRNA from 1 species